rnacentral:rRNA from 1 species
GAUUAACGCUGGCGGCGUGCAUAACACAUGCAAGUCGAACGAAGUGGCGGACGGGUGAGUAACGCGUGAGUAACCUGCCUUACACAAGGGGAUAGCCGUUGGAAACGACGAAUAAUACCCUAUGGUGUAAGAUGGACUCGCGUCUGAUUAGCUAGUUGGUGAGGUAACGGCCCACCAAGGCAACGAUCAGUAUCCGGCUUGAGAGAGUGUCCGGGCACAUUUGGAAGGGGACAAGGCCCAGACUCUACGGGAGGCAGCAGUGGGGAAGUUUGCACAAUGGGGGAAAGACUGAGGCAGUGAGGCCGCGGGAUUUAGAAGGCCGUCGGGUUGGAAAAAUCUUUUGUACGUGAAGCAGUACCAUACGAAUAAGGACCGGCUAAUUACGUGCCAGCAGCCGCGGUAAUAC